UACAGAGGUCUCAAGCGUUGUUCGGAUUCAUUGGGCGUAAAGGGCUCGUAGGUGGCCAACUAAGUCGGACGUGAAAUCCCUCGGCUUAACCGGGGAACUGCGUCCGAUACUGGUUGGCUUGAGUUUGGGAGAGGGAUGCGGAAUUCCAGGUGUAGCGGUGAAAUGCGUAGAUAUCUGGAGGAACACCGGUGGCGAAGGCGGGUCUCUGGGCAUCUCCUGACGCUGAGGCGCGAAAGCGUGGGGAGCAAACGGG
rnacentral:rRNA from 1 species